CCCUUCUGGAGAGAGAGAGAGAGAGGAGGGAGGGAGAGAGAGAAAAUACAGGCAUUGAUUUGGAGAAGGGGGCUAGCAGAUUUUUGAACUGGACACACUUUCAUGACAGACAGUGACACGCAGGCACACACACACAGCAAGAGAGAUCAGGUUUUCCUUUUGUUGUUAACCCACCUUAUACAGCAGGUUACCCUCCUCCAUGAGUUUCUGUAGGAGGAUGAGGAGGACGUCUGGUUUCGAUGUGGCCAUCGCCCACGUAGCAUGACCUGGUCAAGAGCCUUUUAGCAGGUAGAAAGGAGUGAAGAGAAAGAGGGGUGAAAUACAUGAUGUUGACAGAGCCUUCCUCAAGACCCUGCAGGGCUUUAACACCGACAGAUCAGGUCAACUCCAACUCACCCAGCUUGGCCCCUUUCUUCAGUAGGGUCACCACUACAGCAGUGUUCCUACAGCCCACAGCCCUCUCCAGAGGCCUCACCCCACUGUGGUCCACAUGCUCUACCACCGCACCCUUCUCCACCAGUUUGCAGUACUAGAAGGAACCCCACCAUCUCUGCAUCACCGUUGAAAGCUGCCAGGUCGAGAGGGGUACGCCCGUUCCUGUCAGGGUGGUCUAUCUCUGCCCCCAUCUCCACCAGGUGCUGCACCACGCCCUUCUGACCC